GAUGAACGCUGACAGAAUGCUUAACACAUGCAAGUCUUUGGCGAGUCUGUGCUUGCACAGGCUAGCCAAGGCGGACGGGUGAGUAACGCGUAAAGAACUUGCCCUGCAGACAGGGAUAACAGACGGAAACGACUGAUAACACCUGAUACAGUUGCCGGCACGCAUGUGCCUGGCAAUGAAAAGAGAUGCUGCAGGAGAGCUUUGCGUCCUAUUAGCUUGUUGGUGAGGUGACGGCUCACCAAGGCGAUGAUAGGUAGCCGGCCUGAGAGGGUGAACGGCCACAAGGGGACUGAGAUACGGCCCUUACUCCUACGGGAGGCAGCAGUGGGGAAUAUUGGAUAAUGGGGGCAACCCUGAUCCAGCAAUUCUGUGUGCACGAAGAAGGUUUUCGGAUUGUAAAGUGCUUUCAGCAGGGAAGAAGAAAGUGACGGUACCUGCAGAAGAAGCGACGGCUAAAUACGUG
rnacentral:rRNA from 1 species